rnacentral:tRNA from 3 species
GGCCCGGUAGCUCAGUCGGUUAGAGCAGGGGACUCAUAAUCCCUUGGUCGGGGGUUCGAGUCCCUCCCGGGCUA